GCACUUGGAGGAUGUAUAGCAAUAGCUAGUUGCAUCAUAGUAGAUAUGAUGCAAGAUCGACUAUGUUGAAUAAAAUUCUAGGUAGAAUUAUGAUAAUGACAUUGUCUGCCUAUGUGUCUUGACCAAAUUACGUGCCAGCAGUCGCGGUAAUACGUAGAAGACUAGUGUUAUUCAUGUUUAAUCGGUUUAAAGGGUACCUAGACGGUAGAUCAAGCUUUCUAAUAAAGGAAAAGGACUAGUUUACUAGAGUUACUUAUGAGGGGGUAUUAAAGUACUGCUGGUGUAGAGAUGAAAUUCUGUCAUACCUCUUUUCAAAAGAAAAACCAUGGCACAGGUAUAGGCGAAGGCAUCCCCUUAUGUGAUAACUGACGUUGAGGGACGAAGGCUUUGUGUAGCGAACAGGAUUAGAUACCCCAGUAGUCGAAGCAGAAAAUGAUGAAUGUCAUAGAUUAGAUAUAUAAGUUUAUUCUAUAAAUGAAAGUGUAAGCAUUCCACCUCAUGAGUAAUUUGGCAACAUUGGAACUGAAAUCAUUAGACCGUUUCUGAAACCAGUAGUGAAGUAUGUUGUUUAAUUUGAUGUCCCGCAAAAAACCUUACCACAAUUUGAAUAUUUAUAUUGUUUAUUGUUUUAUUAUUAAUUUUCUUGAACGGAAAGAUCACGUA
rnacentral:rRNA from 1 species